CAAAAUUUGAGAGAAAUAAACUUUUUGUGAAUAUGGAACAUUUCUGUUUUAUUUCAGCUCAUGAAACAUGGGACCAACACUUUACAUGGUGUAUUUAUAUUUUUGUUCAAUAUCAAACAAACAUGCCUCUCUGACAUGUAAAAUACUGAAAUCACAGCAGCUCUAUUCAUAGAAUUUUUAUCUAGAAUGUUCCAAAACCUUUUCCUACUGAACAUGGCCCUGGUUUUAAAAAUGGCAGUUAUUGGCAACACCAUGGCAACAACACAACCACAACCAACUCUGAUUGGCCAGUCAAAAGACACAACCAACUCUGAUUGGCCAGUCAAAAGACACAACCAACUCUGAUUGGCCAGUCAAAAGACACAACAAACUCUGAUUGGCCAGUCAAAAGACACAACAAACUCUGAUUGGCCAGUUAAGCCAGACAGAGGUACUGUAUGUAGUAAAAAAACAACUUUAAAAAGCAGGAAUAAUAAACAAUAAUAAAACAAUGCAAUACUGUGAGAUCAUGGCACAGAUAUAGACAGACUGACCGGCAGAUAUAUGACCAUAGAAAUAGACACAGGCAGGGUAUAGAUAAUACUGGUGUGGUACUUUAAAAAUACCGCAGCGUUGUUGGAGCAACACUACGUAGUUGUGUGUUCGUAUCCAUGGUUACCAUAGGUAGAGCCCAGCCUCGUUCCAGACACAGCGGAGAUAACGUCAGAGCAGGUCCACUGACUACAUCUCCCAGAGGGCUUUUUCCAAAAUAAAAGUCCCCGUGAUAUCUGCACCGGUUGUUCACGAGUAUUGAGUGAACCUCGUGUCAUGUAAGCUACAACAGUACUGUGUGUCUCUGCGUGAUGGUGGACAAGGUUCAGUUUCAAACUGUCACUUCUAGAGAUAUGGGUUUAACAGAUCCCAAGGUCCUGUUUCAAACUGUCACUUCUAGAGAUAUGGGUUUAACAGAUCCCAAGGUCCUGUUUCAAACUGUCACUUCUAGAGAUAUGGGUUUAACAGAUCCCAAGGUCCUGUUUCAAACUGUCACUUCUAGAGAUAUGGGUUUAACAGAUCCCAAGGUUCCGUUGUUUCCAUAUUGGUCAGUGCGUGACCUGAACUCUUAUUGUGAAACACUUUGUUCCAGAUGCAUUUCCUGGGCUCCAUGUAACAGUUCCAUGACACAGAAUAGCCCACCAGGUAACCAACCAGCCAAGUCCAUAUCUCAGAAAGGUAUAGCCACACCUUUUACUCCAUACUGUAGUUACAGCUCCAUAAUCCAUACAGGGCAGAGGACCAUAAACCAUAGCCAGUCUAUUCCCCAUGUAGGUACGAGGUGAGCCAUGUAAUCCCAUCCCAGGUAGGUCCAUCCCAGAUCAGUUUAUCCAGGUAGGUCCAUCCCAGGUAGCCAUAGACAGGUAGGUCCAUCUCGGGUAGCCAUAGACAGGUAUGUCCAUCUCGGGUAGGUCCAUCCCAGGUAGCCAUAGACAGGUAUGUCCAUCCCAGGUAGCCAUAGAUAGGUAGGUCCAUCCCAGGUAGCCACAGACAGGUAGGUCCAUCCCAGGUAGCCAUAGACAGGUAUGUCCAUCUCGGGUAGGUCCAUCCCAGGUAUGUCCAUCCCAGGUAGCCAUAGACAGGUAUGUCCAUCCCAGGUAGCCAUAGACAGGUAGGUCCAUCCCAGGUAGCCACAGACAGGUAGGUCCAUCCCAGGUAGCCAUAGACAGGUAUGUCCAUCCCAGGUAGCCAUAGACAGGUAUGUCCAUACAUGCAGCCAUAGACAGGUAGGUCCAUCCCAGGUAGCCAUAGACAGGUAUGUCCAUACAUGCAGCCAUAGUCCAAGUAAAUCUUAGCCUGCAGGUAUGUCUCCGUCCUCUGUCCCAGGUUAGAUUUGUCCCAGGGCCAGGCUAAACCAGACUUAACCCCGGUACAGUCAUGGUUCUGGCACCAGUGUGGCCCCAGUUAGGCCCUGUGGUCUCAGGACUGGUUGUCCCCAGUAGGGGUUGGUGGUUCGAGUGACAGUUCUUCGUCAGACAGCCCCGUUUCCACAGCGAUCACCAGGGAUGCCACAGACGCACUGCUGGUCAUGGGCUGGAACUCACCUAGAGAGAGAGAGACAGGGGGAGGAGGAGACAAAAGAAGGAUGAGAGAGACCGAGAGAGGGAGAGAGAAAGAGGGAUGAGAGAGAGAAAGAAGAGGGGGGAGGGAGAGAAAGAAAGAGGGAGAGGUGAGGAUGCAAUUCAUUAAAGCUGCCACCAGGUGGCACUAUGAGUGCUGUUUGUGUGUGUGCGUAUGUGUGCGUGUGUGUGCGUGGUGUGACUGUGGGCUGCGUGGUGUGACUGUGCGUGUCGCUAGCCUCGCCCGCCGCCCGGCGCUAGCCUCGCCCGCCGCCCGGCGCUAGCCUCGCCCGCCGCCCGGCGCUAGCCUCGCCCGCCGCUAGUCUCGCCCGCCGCUAGUCUCGCCCGCCGCCUGUCGCUAGUCUCGCCCGCCGCCUGUCGCUAGUCUCGCCCGCCGCCUGUCGCUAGUCUCGCCCGCCGCCUGUCGCUAGUCUCGCCCGCCGCCUGUCGCUAGUCUCGCCCGCCGCCUGUCGCUAGUCUCGCCCGCCGCCUGUCGCUAGUCUCGCCCGCCGCCUGUCGCUAGUCUCGCCCGCCGCCUGUCGCUAGUCUCGCCCGCCGCCUGUCGCUAGUCUGUCGGUAGCUGCGUGUCGGUAGCUGCGUGUCGGUAGCUGCGUGUCGGUAGCUGCGUGUCGGUAGCUGCGUGUCGGUAGCUCGCCUGCGUGUCACUAGUUGCGUGUCACUAGUUGCGUGUCGGUAUUCUCGCCUGCGUGUCACUAGUUGCGUGUCGGUAGCUGCGUGUCGGUAGUCUCGCCUGCGUGUCACUAGUUGCGUGUCGGUAGUUGCGUGUCGGUAGCUGCGUGUCACUAGUUGCGUGUCGGUAGCUGCGUGUCGGUAGCUGCGUUUGCGUGUCACUAGUUGCGUGUCGGUAGUCUCGCCUGCGUGUCACUAGUUGCGUGUCACUAGUUGCGUGUC
ensembl:lncRNA